rfam:Schistosoma mansoni strain Puerto Rico chromosome 6, complete genome
AUCCAGCUGACGAGUCCGAAGUAGGACGAAACGCGCGUCAAACUGGAU